CAGGAGUCUGAGCGCACAGUGGUUGCCUUGGGGAUGCUGAAAGAGGCCGCAUUUCUGGCCAGCCCAGGUGAGCCAAGAAAGAAUACCAGGGGGAAUAAGCAGACUCGCCAGGCCACAGGGAAAGGGCUGCAAAGUUACUCACACAGCUGCUCUAUUUGUCUGUAAGAGGAGCGGUCAGUCUCCACCAGCUCCCACCCGCUGGGUGGCUGGGAUAAAGCGAGUGGGGUGGGAACGUCCUUCAACGCAUCCUCAUCAGAUCCAGUAACUCAUGCUUGAGUAACUCGGAGCUUACUGGGAUGACGUGGGUAGGUGGCCUGCAGCUCUGCUCAGGAGGGUCUUCUCCAGUCAUGUGAGCCUUAGAGAAUGCAUCCUGCCCCAUGUCCUCCGUACGUUUCAACAACUGGGAUCCCACUGGCUCCUGUUACAACCGAGCUAGGACCAACAGUAACAACAGCAAGAACACCAGCACUACCCCCGCGACAGCAUCUCCCUUUUAUAAAGCAUCUCUUACCUGCCCAGGAGGAGAGCAUGGAAGACCAGGAGUGUGUACCACAGUCCCCACUGUUUGAGAGAAUAGGACCGCGCAGAUGGCAAGUGACAGAAACUGAACUUGACUCGUUUCAGCGAAAGGGGAGUUGUUCGGCUCUCGUAGCUCAGAGGAUUCCAGGAUAGCUCACAGAAUGAAAGGAAAGACUGUAGGAACUGGGAGGUCGGGACCAAUACAACCUGUCUUCACCUAUAUCUCCAUCUUCGCCUGUGUCUCUCUCUUCUC
rnacentral:lncRNA from 1 species